ACUCCUACGGGAGGCAGCAGUGAGGAAUAUUGGUCAAUGGAGGGAACUCUGAACCAGCCAUCCCGCGUGUAGGAAGACGGCCUUAUGGGUUGUAAACUACUUUUAUACAGGAAGAAACGUACCCUCGUGAGGGUGCCUGACGGUACUGUAGGAAUAAGCACCGGCUAACUCCGUGCCAGCAGCCGCGGUAAUACGGAGGGUGCGAGCGUUAAUCGGAAUUACUGGGCGUAAAGCGCAUGCAGGCGGCCUGUUAAGUCAGAAGUGAAAUCCUAUGGCUCAACCAUAGAACUGCUUUUUGAAACUGGUAACCUAGAGUAUGGGAGAGGUAGAUGGAAUUUCUGGUGUAGGGGUAAAAUCCGUAGAGAUCAGAAGGAAUACCGAUUGCGAAGGCGAUCUACUGGAACAUUACUGACGCUGAGACGCGAAAGCGUGGGGAGCAAACAGGAUUAGAUACCCUGGUAGACUGUC
rnacentral:rRNA from 1 species